CAGAGGAGCUCCUGAAGUUUAAAUCCUGAUCAAUAAAUAAACGAAUAAAUCAAAUCAGUGACUCGUCUAAAAUCAGAGUCUCUACACGAGCUCAGAGGAAACCGCAGCAGCGUUCAGCGCCACUUCCUCCUCCUCCUCCUUCCCUCGCUCAAAGAAACAUCCAUCUCUCGGAGGUCACUCCGGGAUCAGGACUGCCUCUUUCCUGUCCUGGGUUUGAUUGACAGGCUGUCACAGCACACGGAUUCGACCAAUAACAGCGGCCGACACUGACUCCUCUUUGUUUACAGUAUCAGACUGUGAUGUCGAUUCAGAUCAGCGUUGUGUUGGGCGCCGGCGGCGGCCAUGACGCUUCCUUCAAUGAGAGUUACCAUCAGCUGUUGAACAUGUGGACCUGAGAGGGACCUGAAGGGGGUCACUCAGAGACCUAAGACUGCAGACCACAUGAGAGGAAACUAAAUCUGUUCUUCUGAACGUUAGAAAACACGGUGGAUGAAUCUCCUUCUCCUCUCAGUGGACAAAAGUGAAGCCAAAAUAUACAAAAACCAGCUGGUUCUGGAGACGACCGACAAUCCUCUAAAAUUCAACUAUAAAAGGAAGACAUGGACCACAGACCUUUUCUCUGUACAGCUCUGUUUUUAGAAGUUAUUAGGCGGUUCAUUUUUCUUUGAUUGACACCUGAUACAGCCUAUAGGAGGACAGAGAUUGUAAGCUCUCCCAGGGGAUACGGUGUUUGAGCCGAGCGUCAUCACAGCGACUCUCAGCGACUUUGCCGCUGAAUGCGCACAACGCUACUGCGCAAUGUUGGUUUUAGAAAGUGGAGAAAAAUCGCAGAAUUACAGAGAGUGUUUUAGCUUCAGUUCUGUAUACUGGCGGGAGGCGGAACCAAGUUGUCCAGAGUAUAAACAGUCUAUGAGUGUGACCAACGGAACUCUUCCUUUAUGAUGUCACACAUUAGAUCAAUGAGACCAAAAACUUCUUCUGUUCUAAGUUCUUAUUGAGGGCGAAAAUUCCGGAAUCCCCUUUGAUGUCCUUGAUGUUUUGAUCUCAUUGAAGAUCAGCUGUUCUGAAUAACACACUAACAAACACACACAUGCACACACACACACACACACACACACACAAACACACAAGUAAGAUGCAGGCAGUAUUGUGUGUGGGGUGCAUACAACACUACUAUGCAAUGUUGGUGAAGUUAGUUUCAGGUUGGAUAUAUUUUCCUGUAAAUACGGCGGUGAAGUUAGUUUCAGGUUGGAUAUAUUUUCCCGUAAAUACAGCGGUGAAGUUAGUUUUAGGUUGGAUAUAUUUUCCUGUAAAUAUGGCGGUGAAGUUAGUUUUUGGUUGGAUAUAUUUUCCUGUCAAUACGGCGGUGAAGUUAGUUUCAGGUUGGAUAUAUUCUCCUGUAAAUAUGGCGGUGAAGUUAGUUUCAGGUUGGAUAUAUUUUCUUGUAAAUACGGUGGUGAAGUUAGUUUCAGGUUGGAUAUAUUUUCUGUAAAUAUGGCGGUGAAGUUAGUUUCAGGUUGGAUAUAUUUUCCUGUUAAUACGGCGGUGAAGUUAGUUUCAGGUUGGAUAUAUUUUCCUGUAAAUACGGCGGUGAAGUUAGUUUUAGGUUGGAUAUAUUCUCCUGUAAAUACGGCGGUGAAGUUAGUUUCAGGUUGGAUAUAUUUUCCUGUAAAUACGGCGGUGAAGUUAGUUUCAGGUUGGAUAUAUUUUCCUGUAAAUACGGCGGUGAAGUUAGUUUCAGGUUGGAUAUAUUUUCCUGUAAAUACGGCGGUGAAGUUAGUUUUAGGUUGGAUAUAUUUUCCUGUAAAUACGGCGGUGAAGUUAGUUUCAGGUUGGAUAUAUUUUCCUGUAAAUAUGGCGGUGAAGUUAGUUUCAGGUUGGAUAUAUUUUCCUGUAAAUAUGGCGGUGAAGUUAGUUUCAGGUUGGAUAUAUUUUCCUGUAAAUAUGGCGAUGAAGUUAGUUUUUGGUUGGAUAUAUUUUCCUGUAAAUAUGGCGGUGAAGUUAGUUUUAGGUUGGAUAUAUAUUCUCCUGUAAAUACGGCGGUGAAGUUACUUUUUGGUUGGAUAUAUUUUCCUGUAAAUACGGCGGUGAAGUUAGUUUCAGGUUGGAUAUAUUCUCCUGUAAAUAUGGCGGUGAAGUUAGUUUUUGGUUGGAUAUAUUUUCCUGUAAAAACGGCGGUGAAGUUAGUUUUAGGUUGGAUAUAUUUUCCUGUAAAUACGGCGGUGAAGUUAGUUUUAGGUUGGAUAUCUGACGGACAUUCUCUGAGGAUCUACCGGUGUCUUCUCACUCUCCAUAACCGGGAAUAACAACAGCAGCGCGGUUAAAUCUACUCGACACCCUCACUGUCAACGUCGGUGUUGAAUAAGGGACCGUCAAUAAAUUACCGGUUGAUGUUCUCAGAAAAGGCUGUUUUCCUUCAAUAGCUUCCAUGUCAUGUGAUUAAAAGACCUAAAAUUGAUUUCUAAUAAUAGUAUGAAGGUCGAUCAAUGAGACAAACAUUAUUGAUUAAUUUUCAUUGUUCCCCUAAAGUUCUUUGUGUGCUCCAUGUGAAAAAAGUUCACCUGCUCUGAGGUUUGAUGGAAACAAACAUGCACAACUAUGAAUACGGGCCUGAAGGAGACGCCUGUGUGUUUACACCUGUGCAGGUAAAGAGUGAGACGGUAAAGACUGAGCAGAAUUUACUGAAGGAGGAUAUUUUUUUUGUAGUAAAUCUGACCUGCUCUCUAAACAGUUUGAAGUUUUGUGUUUUUUAGUGUGACUUUUUUCAGGAAUACUGUCCCUUUAAGCAGAAAAAUGAGGUGAACUGAAAGUACUUUGAAAUAAAUCAAUCUGAGGAUUUUAAAGUGAUUUUUAUAAACAGUCACAGAAUAAAAAAAUCUGUGAAACUCCUGAUAAAGAAAUCUGACGUGAUGUUUGAUAAAAGCUGCAGAGCUGAUUUCUGUUCAACAAACAUCCUCCUGUUAAAACAUCCAGCUGUCUGCGUCCCUGCAUACAAAGCAGCCAAUUAUUGACGGUUACGGCGGCGUAGGUGAGACAGCGUGUCACACGGCGUGGAUGUGUUGCAUUGUGCGGCUGAUCGGCGGCGUUACAGACGGCCUCAUUAUCCUCCUGAAAAGACGGCGACUCGCUCCGGCAGAGGGAGACGAACCCGAAGAAGAGAGUUAAUUUGCACUCUUAAACUCGUCCUCCUCUGACAUGUCGUCUUUAUUUCCUGACGGAGCGGGUGAGAAAGCGAGCGAGGGGUCCAGGGCCCCUCAGUGAGCGAGCGUGAUUGUGUCCGUGGCCUCUCUCUCUUUCAGCCACUUCCACCGUCAUUAAUUGGUGCUGUGGGAUGAAUCGGGUCCUUUCUACCUCUGGAUGAGUGUGUGUGCGUGUCUGAGAGGUAAUUGCUGUGAGCUUUAGAGGGCCAAAGUGUUGGUUUAAGGGCCCCUGACCUUUGACCCCCUGGCUAAAAGUUCCCCCUCCUUCCUUCUUUCUUUCUGUCACCGUGUGUGAAUGUCUUUCUCUCACCUUGUUCGGCCCUCUGAGUGUGUGUUUUUGUGUUUUUGUGUGCGUCUUUGUUUGCAGUGAGGAGCGAAAGAAAAGACGAGGAGAGUUUCCUGGAGGAGUGAAAACCUGCAGAGAUGAUUUAUUAAAACAAAAACUGUCCCGAGGGUUUUAGAGCUUUUUAACUUAUUUAUCUUUUCAUCAGUCCAAACUUUAAAGAACUCUUUUAUUCUGCCUGAUUCUGAGACGUUUUUAGUUUGUAAAGUUUCAUACGUAUGACGGAGUGUUAGGGCCACAUUAAGAAAAACAAAAAAAGGAAAAUCAUAAAAUAUAACAAUAGGAAAAAUCAUAAAAAUGUAAUAAAAUUAUUACUUAGGAUAAUAAAGUCGUAAAUAAUUACUAUCAUUCCUGACGAGAAUAAAGUCAUAUUGAAAUCAUUAUGAGAAUAAAGUCGUAAAAAAAAUAUAAUUUACAAGAAAUAAGUCUUAAAAAAAUCAUUACAACAAUAAAGUCGUAAUAAAAUCAUUAUUGACCAGAAUAAAGUCAUAAAAAAUCAUUACUUAGAAAGUAACUUUGUAAAAAAAUCAUUACGAGAAUUAAGUCGUAGUAAAAUCACUACUGAUGAGAAUAAAGUUGUAAAAAAGAAAUUACCAGAAUAAAGUCGUAGUAAUUCUCAAUUAAAUUUUAUUUUGUAAUGUGGUCCUAAUACUCGGUUGUACAUAUGUACUUAUUUAGAUGUUCCUUUUUUAAAUAACUUUUUUUCCUCUUUUUUACAUUUGGACUUUUUUUUUCAUCUCUGCAGAU
rnacentral:lncRNA from 1 species